rnacentral:rRNA from 1 species
UAGGGAGUUGUAUAUUUGCUCAGGAUGAACGCUGGCGGCGUGCUAAUACAUGCAAGUCGAACGCUUUGUGGUUCAACUGAUUUGAAGAGCUUGCUCAGAUAUGACGAUGGACAUUGCAAAGAGUGGCGAACGGGUGAGUAACACGUGGGAAACCUACCUCUUAGCAGGGGAUAACAUUUGGAAACAGAUGCUAAUACCGUAUAACAAUAGCAACCGCAUGGUUGCUACUUAAAAGAUGGUUCUGCUAUCACUAAGAGAUGGUCCCGCGGUGCAUUAGUUAGUUGGUGAGGUAAUGGCUCACCAAGACGAUGAUGCAUAGCCGAGUUGAGAGACUGAUCGGCCACAAUGGGACUGAGACACGGCCCAUACUCCUACGGGAGGCAGCAGUAGGGAAUCUUCCACAAUGGGCGAAAGCCUGAUGGAGCAACGCCGCGUGUGUGAUGAAGGGUUUCGGCUCGUAAAACACUGUUGUAAGAGAAGAAUGACAUUGAGAGUAACUGUUCAAUGUGUGACGGUAUCUUACCAGAAAGGAACGGCUAAAUACGUGCCAGCAGCCGCGGUAAUACGUAUGUUCCAAGCGUUAUCCGGAUUUAUUGGGCGUAAAGCGAGCGCAGACGGUUAUUUAAGUCUGAAGUGAAAGCCCUCAGCUCAACUGAGGAAUUGCUUUGGAAACUGGAUGACUUGAGUGCAGUAGAGGAAAGUGGAACUCCAUGUGUAGCGGUGAAAUGCGUAGAUAUAUGGAAGAACACCAGUGGCGAAGGCGGCUUUCUGGACUGUAACUGACGUUGAGGCUCGAAAGUGUGGGUAGCAAACAGGAUUAGAUACCCUGGUAGUCCACACCGUAAACGAUGAGUGCUAGGUGUUUGAGGGUUUCCGCCCUUAAGUGCCGCAGCUAACGCAUAAGCACUCCGC